GACGAACGCUGGCGGCGUGCUUAACACAUGCAAGUGGAACGAUGAAGCGGGUGCUUGCACUCGUGGAUUAGUGGCGAACGGGCGAGUAACACGUGAGUAACCUGUCCUUUUCUUUGGGAUAACGGCUGGAAACGGCUGCUAAUACUGGAUAUUCAGGCUGCAUCGCAUGGUGUGGUUUGGAAAGGUUUUUUCUGGGAUUGGGUGGGCUCGCGGCCUAUCAGCUUGUUGAUGGGGUGAUGGCUUACCAAGGCUUUGACGGGUAGCCGGCCUGAGAGGGUGGUCGGUCGCACUGGGACUGAGAUACGGCCCAGACUCCUACGGGAGGCAGCAGUGGGGAAUAUUGCACAAUGGACGAAAGUUUGAUGCAGCGACGCCGCGUGGAGGGUGUAGGCCUUCGGGUUGUGAACUCCUUUUUCUCGCGAAAAAGGCACAGUUUUGGCUGUGUUGAUGGUAGUGGGGGAAGAAGCGCCGGCUAACUACGUG
rnacentral:rRNA from 1 species